AACAGUUUACAACAGGUCCACAGUUACAACAACACAUGUUUACCCACACUGAGGAGAGACCUUAUAAAUGUGACCUGUGUGAGAAGACUUUUAAAGCUCCACAUCACCUGAGAGGACACCAACAGAUCCACACCAGAAAGAGACUCUACAAGUGCAGUUACUGUGAGAAGCAGAGCGACACAGAUGGAUCCAGUUCUCAACCCUGUCAUCACUGUGGUGGUGGGAAAGACUUUCGUUGUGACCUCUGUGGGAAAACUUUCAGUCAGCAAAAGACCCUAAAAAUACAUCAACGUAGACACACUGGAGACAAACUGAAAUACUGCAAAGAAUGUGGGAGAAGCUUCAGCACAUCAAGUAGAUUAAAACAACAUGAACUCAUUCACAAUGGGGUUAAAAAGUACAUCUGUGAUCAGUGUGGGUCAUCUUUCAUUACUGCAGGUCAUCUUAAAAAGCACAAACGUGUCCACACAGGAGAGAAACCAUACAAGUGCAGACACUGUGACAAAAGCUUCUCAUAUUCAGAUAAUCGUAACAGGCAUGAACGUACACACAUGGAAGGAAACUACAGCUGUGACCAGUGUGACAAGAGCUUCAGGAAUCUCAGUUCAUACUCCGAACACAAACGAUCCCACAUUACUAAUAAACUGUUUCACUGUUACCAAUGUGCCAAAACAUUCACCAAAUUAUCUGCUCUGUGCAAACAUCAGCGUGAUCACUCAGGGCUGAAAUCACUCCCAUCACAGUGAAUCUGAAGAGACAGAAAGAUCCUCUUCUGGUUUGAGGGUCAGACUCAUUUAGCUGUGAAUGAACAUGUUCCACUAGUUACAUUUACUGUCUGUCUGUCUGUCAGUAUAUGUGUGCAUAUGUGUGCAUCUAAACUACAUGUUUAAAACCAAAAUUUUUUUUCAAAUAUUAUGUACAAUUAUAUUAAUGAAGUAUGUGCCA